CUCUGAGAAGCUAUCUAAGCAUUAGCCUUUUAAGCUAAAGAAGGGCCCAUAACCCCUCAGUGU
rnacentral:tRNA from 1 species